UAUAACCGGCGAUUUCCGAAUGGGGAAACCCAGUGUGAUUCGUCACACUAUCAUUAACUGAAUCCAUAGGUUAAUGAGGCGAACCGGGGGAACUGAAACAUCUAAGUACCCCGAGGAAAAGAAAUCAACCGAGAUUCCCCCAGUAGCGGCGAGCGAACGGGGAGGAGCCCAGAGCCUGAAUCAGCAUGUGUGUUAGUGGAAGCGUCUGGAAAGGCGCGCGAUACAGGGUGACAGCCCCGUACACAAAAGCGCAUGUGCUGUGAGCUCGAUGAGUAGGGCGGGACACGUGGUAUCCUGUCUGAAUAUGGGGGGACCAUCCUCCAAGGCUAAAUACUCCUGACUGACCGAUAGUGAACCAGUACCGUGAGGGAAAGGCGAAAAGAACCCCGGCGAGGGGAGUGAAAAAGAACCUGAAACCGUGUACGUACAAGCAGUGGGAGCCCCACCACUAAGCCAGUGGUGAACUCCACAUCCGCAUCCUUUGCUGAGGAUACGGUUAACGGAGCGAAAGCGACGUUCAACCGCAAAACAAGCAGAGGGGGCUUAGUGGUGGGGUGACUGCGUACCUUUUGUAUAAUGGGUCAGCGACUUAUAUUCUGUAGCAAGGUUAACCGAAUAGGGGAGCCGGAGGGAAACCGAGUCUUAAUUGGGCGUUAAGUUGCAGGGUAUAGACCCGAAACCCGGUGAUCUAGCCAUGGGCAGGUUGAAGGUUGGAUAACACUAACUGGAGGACCGAACCGACUAAUGUUGAAAAAUUAGCGGAUGACCUGUGGCUGGGGGUGAAAGGCCAAUCAAACCGGGAGAUAGCUGGUUCUCCCCGAAAGCUAUUUAGGUAGCGCCUCGUGAAUUCAUCUCCGGGGGUAGAGCACUGUUUCGGCUAGGGGGCCAUCCCGGCUUACCAACCCGAUGCAAACUGCGAAUACCGGAGAAUGUUAUCACGGGAGACACACGGCGGGUGCUAACGUCCGUCGUGAAGAGGGAAACAACCCAGACCGCCAGCUAAGGUCCCAAAGUCAUGGUUAAGUGGGAAACGAUGUGGGAAGGCCCAGACAGCCAGGAUGUUGGCUUAGAAGCAGCCAUCAUUUAAAGAAAGCGUAAUAGCUCACUGGUCGAGUCGGCCUGCGCGGAAGAUGUAACGGGGCUAAACCAUGCACCGAAGCUGCGGCAGCGACGCUGAUGCGUUGUUGGGUAGGGGAGCGUUCUGUAAGCCUGCGAAGGUGACCUGUGAGGG
rnacentral:rRNA from 1 species